AAGUCUCCAACAGUGGUUGGUCCAAAACGGUAGCUCUAAUGAGUCAACCAUAACAUUGACUUGGCUUGUUGAAGACUUCCAACAGAUUGAUUCAUGCAUUCUUCAUAGUAGUGUUCAACUGUUCAUCAAUCAUGUUGAUAAACAAUUCUAGUUCCUUCUUUGCCUUUUUUCUAGUUCUCAUGUUCUCACCACUGCUGAAUCAUACCUCUUACUACUUUGCCAUAUUCAUUCCUCCGACUACUGAAUCUCCAGGGCAAUAUAAAGAUGUUUGGUCAUCCAAGAAAAACUACGGCAACCUCAUCGUCCAGGAAAAUGCAAUAUUCAUUUCUCCGACCACUUAUUUUCACUUACGAAAAUAAAGUUGUUUGGUCAGCCAACAGAGUCCAUUCGGCCGGGAUUGAUGCAAUACUGAAUUUCACUGCAGCAGCUGGAGAAUUGGUCCUUAAGGAUGGAGAUGGAAGCAUAGUUUGGACCACCAACACUGCAGGUCAAGAAGUUUAACUUUGACAAUCUUUGUUGGAUCUAAAGCAACUCAAGCAUCUAGAUCUGAGCUGCAAUGAUUUUGGAGGCAUCAAGUUCCUAAAUUCAUUGGUUCUUUUCAAAACCUAAGGUACCUUAACCUUUCACGUUCCAAUUUUAGCGGAACAAUCCCUCCACAACUAGGGAAUCUCUCAGAAUUACAUGUUCUGUGUCUUGGAAGUUUUAAUGAUCUAUAUUCUGAAAGAACGAGCAUGGCGAAUAUGAAGUGGCUGUCAAGUCUUGGUAUGUUGCAUCACCUCGAUAUGAGUGGCGUGGAUGUAACACCCCAAAAAUAAAAGACACAAUAAAUAAUAAUAAACUUAAUGUGAUUAAGGAAUAUAUAGUAAUAUGGUACCUAAAUGUGGGAUUCUAAAGAAUAUAUAGUAAUAUGGUACCUAAAUGUGGGAUUCUAAAGAAUAUAUAGUAAUAUGGUACCUAAAUGUGGGAUUCUAAAGAAUAUAUAGUAAUAUGGUACCUAAAUGUGGGAUUCUGUAACGCCCCAAAAAUGAAAACUCAAUAAAACAAGUGAGGACAAAUAACUGUAAUGCCCCAAAAUCUAAUAGUUGAUAAAUAAGGCAUUUACUAGAAUUAUGUGUGAAAUAACUUAACUAGGAUUAGUUAACCUAGUUUGUGUUUCUAUGUUAGUUACAAGAAGGAAAUAAAUAAAUUAUCAAAACUACAAGGGUUGAACUUGUACAUUUUAAUUAAAGUUUGGUUAAGUAGUGGAAGAUCACAAACAUCAGACAUAAGUCUGAUGUUGGUGUCGAUGCAAGCCAAGGGCCAAGAAGGGUUUCUCAUGAUGAUGAAAUGUUGAAGAAUUGAAGCAAAAUCCAGCCUUAAUUCUCUUGCAUGUGUAGAGAUUCUACAUCAAAAAACUAUAUGAAACAUGUGUAUAGGGAUCAUGUCGAGAUGGAUGGAAGCAUAAAGGACUAACGGGCCAUGAGGACAUGAGGAAACGAUAGCGAAUAGGGAUGCAUAAGGUUUAUGAAUAUCGGACUUUCGAAGUGUCGAUAUAGUAAUGAAAUGAUUGAGUGUUGGAAGAUAUUCGGGUUGAAGUAACUUAAGUGGUUAGAAUAUACUAUGGACGUUUUAGUUUAUACAAUAUUUUAUGUUUGGUCGUCACCACCUACUAACAGGUUAGUUGUAUGAGAAUAUAUGUGAUACCCAUUUAAUUGGGAAAUCGAAUGCGUAAGAGAAAUGAGAGUAUGUACAUGAAUGGAAUUAAAAUGACGGUUUUAUAAGCAAACAAGUAUAGCGACUAACUUUUUAAAGCUUUGUUGUUGAAUGUAGGUAAACCCUCAAUUCAGGCGACUUGGAGAAUCGGAGCGAGCGCGUGUUCAUGUUAUGUCAUACCAAACGCUUCCGCUAGCUUGUUCAAAUGUUUUUAGUCCAAAAUUUGUUGUAUUGGUUCUUAGUAGUAUUUUGUCGAAUGAAUCGUAGAAUUAUAACUAGUUUGAUUAUGUUUAAAACAGGGGUAUGCUCGUUUUAUGGACGGGUCAUGCCCAAUUUUUGUUAAAUUAUAGUAUGAUAAUAUCACAUUUAGGAAGAUGAAA